rnacentral:tRNA from 1 species
GGAUAUGUGGUGCAACGGUAACGCGUUUGACUCCAGAUCAAAAGGUUACGUGUUCGAUUCAUGUCGGUUUCA